rnacentral:rRNA from 1 species
UGAGCAAUCUGCCCUUCUCUUCGGAAUAAGCGUUGGAAACGACGUCUAAUGCCGAAUACGACCUCCUUUCGCAUGAUUGGAGGUGGAAAGCUCCGGCGGAGAAGGAUGAGCUCGCGGCCUAUCAGCUAGUUGGUGUGGGUAAUGGCCCACCAAGGCGACGGCGGGUAGCCGGCCUGAGAGGGUGAUCGGCCACACUGGGACUGAGACACGGCCCAGACCUCCGUACGGGAGCAG